UCGCGAUUUCUACCCGGACGAUAUUCAUGCACGUACCCAAACCGGAAAAGUGUCAAGCUGGUAAACAAUGCAAGGAGUGAUUAACAUUUUCCACAAUAUCUUUAGACUGUGGUCCCUGUGGUGAGGAGGAAACAGCCGAGAGUCUGCGUAAAAUGUCUAAAGCUGAGAUCCUCAGAGGUUUUGUUACUGAGAGACUCGCCGCCGCUUCCCAGGAGAUCUUAGCGGUCGUGGACAGAAUCGUAGCCGGGUACGAGGAGGAGGCUUCGGGCUUCAGGCAGGAGAUCGACCGGCAGAAGAGACAGCUGGAGGUUCUCCUGCAGCCGCGGGUCAAACUGGACAAAGCCGGUGUGAAGCGCAGCAGGAGCUUCGGCCAUGCUGAGGAAGAGGAGGGUGAAGCUGAGGGCGACCAGUCCCCUGAGAACCAGGAAGAUCUGAAUAAUCCAGUUCCACCAAGAGGUCAGUUUGAGAAGAGGAGGCCCAGCAGACCUCAGAUCAAUGAAUCUCAGAACCACAUGGACCUCAGGAUCCGCAUCCUGGAGGACCCACGAACAGAAGUCCUCUCAAAAAACGUUCUGAAGAAAUGUCCGAUGCUGAGGCUGAAAUGUCCUCAAGGUCUACAGGAGGCAGAGUUCUUGGACCUGCUGAGGUCCACGUUCCCUCAGCUGGCUGGAGACAACAAACCUUUCGACAUCUUAACGUCCAACAAGAGACGGAGGUUACAGCGUCUGAAACUGAAGACGGUGACGGCGGAGGAGAUCCACAGAAACCUCAGCUGUGCAGGAUGGGGAACCUCAACUGUCUUCAUCCGACUGAAGGCACAGAAAGAAGCUCAGGCCAGAGAGGAAGAGAUUCUUCCUCUGCAGACAAAAGACGACUCUUCAUCCACUGCUGCCAUGUUGACGCCUGAUGAAACUCAAACGAGCAGCUGUGUUCAGGAGGUCGAAGGUCGCAGAGUGGACGCUCUGUCCAGCGGCUUGACAUCACUACGAGACAUGGCAGCAGAGGAGGCUGAUGAUGAAGGUUGUCGGAUAACACAGCCGAGCGAGGACUCUGUGGUCGGCUCUGCACCUGAGAGAAAAGGUGACGUUAGUGGUGAUGACGACGAUGAUGAAAAAGAACGGGCGAAUGCCAGCGAUGCGGAUUGGAAACCAGUGAAACGCGAUGAGCAGGUGAGGGAAAGUGACUCUGAAAUAAAGUCAAAGACGACAAAGAAACAAAAAAACAGACGUUCUGACGUCACUGAGACAAAAACUGAAAACAGCGAAGCUGCGCUCUUUUGCAAAGUCUGCAGAGCUCUGCACAAAUCUGACGCCACGUUUGUGAAACAUGCCUGGAGUCACGUCGAUGAUCCAGAAAGUCUUUGUGGAGUGUGUGGCGAGCGUCUGGAGUCUGUGGAGGCGUUGAAGGAUCAUCUUCAAACUGACCACAAAACUGAUGACUGUCACAUUUGUGGAGAGUCUUUCCUCAGUAUGCUCAGCCUCAAUGAGCAUGUAGCUGCUCACUCAGGGGAGAGACCAUACAAAUGCAAUGUUUGCACAACUGCAUUUGCACUAAAGGUGUCCCUGGAGAAUCAUCAGAAACUCCAUGAGGGGGCGAAGCUCCACAAAUGCUACACUUGCCACAAAGUGUUUGAACUGAAGGAGCAGCUGAAAGCUCACCGCAGGACUCACACCAACAAGAAGACGCACCUCUGUGGCGUGUGCGGUAAAUCCCUCAGUGACUACAGAUCUUUAUCCCGCCACAAGAUGACGCACUCUGGAGAGAGACCUCACAGCUGUCAGGUUUGCGGGAGGAGUUUUAAACUUCCCGGGACGCUGAGACAACACGAGAAGAUUCACACGGACAGAGAGAGAUCGUACCUCUGCGACGUGUGCUGCAAAAUGUUUCUGACGAGCAAACAGCUGCAGAUUCACAUGAGAACGCACACCAACGAGAAGCCGUACCACUGUGGUGAAUGCGGCAAGGGAUUCACCACCAAGGGACCUUUGACCAUUCACAUGCGGGUCCACACCGGAGAGACACCGUACCGCUGCCCCGACUGCGGCUGGUCCUUCAAACGCAAAAUCAAUCUGGACAACCAUGUGACGGUGCAUUCAGGCGCCAAACCAUUUGUGUGCGGGAUUUGUGGGAAAGCGUGCGCUCGCAAAACGUACUUGACUGUUCACAUGAGGACCCACAAUGGGGAGAGACCGUACAAAUGUACGUUCUGUGACAAAGCGUUUACUCAGAGCCACUGUCUGAAAACACACAUGAAAAGCCACCUGGUGGGAGAAGCUGCAACGUAGCAAGGACACCCGACUAUAUUCAUAUAUUUAACUAGGGCUGUACCCGAUUCCGAACAUUUGCGAAUUUGAAUCUUUGGUUGGUACGGCGACUCGACGAUUCAACUUUGUCCCGGUAGAGAAUAUCAAUACUAAAUAAAAGUCUAACUUAAUGUUAGCUGGUUCCUUUCUCUCGCUUAUCUUUCCUUUUCUCUUCUUUCUCUCUUCCACUUUCCUCAACCAGGUGUUACCACUGUCUGCACUUCCUGUAUCUGUUGUUUCAAAUUAAGAGCCCUCUGCUGAGUUGUGUAAUUGCGACUUCAUGACAGUUGAAAUCCUUCUGUGGAGUGUCUCUCCUGCCGGGCUGCUGACGGUAUUGUCAGCUGGUUUUAACAUUGACUGUUGCCCUUUAUUUAUUUACUUCUUCAGAGCUGUGAGAGUUUGAGUUUUAGUGUUUAUCUCAGUUUAAAGUUAAGUUUGACUCUUAAAGUUACAUAAAGACGCCAAUGCAAUGAAAACAACUGAUGGUUCAAAUAAGAUCUUUAACACAGUCUUGGAAACCUUUUAACUUGUUGCAUUUCAAAAAGUUGUGUCCAGACAUUAUUCACUCUGAGAUUAGAUCUCAGCAGCCCCAUCACAUUUGAUUGCAGUGUGUUCUGUGUGCAUUUGAGUAAAGGUGUACAGAUCAUAUGCAAGAUGUAAAGCAGUCCCUGUGUAAAUGUGAGGAUUUGAAUGUAUGCUGCUAUCUGUAAUCAUUAGAACCAGAGUGUCUUUGCUGGU